GACGAACGCUGGCGGCGUGCUUAACACAUGCAAGUCGAACGGAAAGGCCCUGCUUUUGUGGGGUGCUCGAGUGGCGAACGGGUGAGUAACACGUGAGUAACCUGCCCUUGACUUUGGGAUAACUUCAGGAAACUGGGGCUAAUACCGGAUAGGAGCUCCUGCUGCAUGGUGGGGGUUGGAAAGUUUCGGCGGUUGGGGAUGGACUCGCGGCUUAUCAGCUUGUUGGUAGGGUAGUGGCUUACCAAGGCUUUGACGGGUAGCCGGCCUGAGAGGGUGACCGGCCACAUUGGGACUGAGAUACGGCCCAGACUCCUACGGGAGGCAGCAGUGGGGAAUAUUGCACAAUGGGCGGAAGCCUGAUGCAGCAACGCCGCGUGCGGGAUGACGGCCUUCGGGUUGUAAACCGCUUUCGCCUGUGACGAAGCGUGAGUGACGGCAAUGGGUAAAGAAGCACCGGCUAACUACGUG
rnacentral:rRNA from 1 species